GACGAACGCUGGCGGCGUGCCUAAUACAUGCAAGUAGAACGCAGAAGGAGGAACUUGGUUCUCUGGAUGAGUUGCGAACGGGUGAGUAACGCGUAGGGAACCUGCAUGGUAGCGGGGGGGAACUCUUGGAAACGAUAGCUAUUACAGCAUAAUAUUUGAUGUUGCGUAACAUUCAAUUAAAAGGUACAGUUGCAUCACUACCAGAUGGUCGUGCGGUGUAUUAGUUAGUAGGUGGGGUAGCGGCUCACCAAGGAGACGAUACAUAGCCGACCUGAGAGGGUGAUCGGCCACACUGGGACUGAGACACGGCCCAGACUCCUACGGGAGGCAGCAGUAGGGAAUCUUCGGCAAUGGACGGAAGUCUGACCGAGCAACGCCGCGUGAGUGAAGAAGGUUUUCGGAUCGUAAAGCUCUGUUGUAAGAGAAGAACGAGUGUGAGAGUGGAAAGUUCACACUGUGACGGUAUCUUACCAGAAAGGGACGGCUAACUACGUG
rnacentral:rRNA from 1 species